AAAUAAAUAGCAAUUCAGUUGUAUUAAAAAAGCUGAUCUGAUCAUCUGGAGCCAGGGGUGUCUACUAUAAACUAGUCCCCCUGUGAGGAGAGACCGUGUCCUACCUCUGCAGGCUCCGGUCAGGAUGGGUAGGAGGCGCUUUAAGAAGCCAGCAUCUUGAAUGUUGGUCCCUGCGAUCCAUCUUCCUGGGUUUGUUGCCGAGGUAGAGCGACAUGCGAACACUGUCUGGCUGUUGUUGAUUCGAUUCAGUCACUGAUGGCCGACAAAUGCAUCCUGACACAGAAGGAUCAUACCCCCACCCUAAAAUGGAUUUUUUUUUUUUUUUUUCGCUGAAAACCUCUUUUUUGUUUCAUCACAGUCAGUUUUCCUCCCGUGUCUUCUGCUGACAUUUGCUUUGGGGUCUUCAGGACACAACCUCUGCACAGUGAUGUGCAGCUGAAGAACUGGAACACAGAAAUUCUCUCAUUUGAAAAAGGACAAAUGCUGAACAAUAAAAUGACUUUCUUAUGGAAAAAAAAAGUUCUCCUAGCUUGUUAAAUGUGUACUAAGUAGUUUUGGGGAAGAAAACAGCUUGUUUAUUCAGUUUGUAUUAUCACCUCAUUAAUAUUGUAAAUAUUAAAAUUCUGCUCCACAGCUACAUCGUUUUAAGUAAAUGCACAUUAGUAAGUUAUCUGCCAAAUGUGACUGCAAAAGCUGAAGUAAAAGUAGGCUACUGGUUUCACAAAA